GGAAAAAUGACUGAGUGGCCGAAGGUAGCGCAUUGCUAAUGCGCCGUAUGGUUAACAUACCGAGGGUUCGAAUCCCUCUUUUUCCG
rnacentral:tRNA from 1 species